rnacentral:rRNA from 1 species
CCCUUAGAUGUUCUGGGCCGCACGCGCGCUACACUGACGAAUGCAACGAGCUUAUAACCUUGGCCGAAAGGUCUGGGUAAUCUCCAAAUUUCGUCGUGAUGGGGAUAGAUUAUUGCAAUUAUUAAUCUUCAACGAGGAAUGCCUAGUAAGCGCAAGUCAUCAGCUUGCGUUGAUUACGUCCCUGCCCUUUGUACACACCGCCCGUCGCUCCUACCGAUUGAAUGGUCCGGUGAAGCGCUCGGACCGCGGCCUCUUGACGGUUUUCCGUCGAUUGGCUGUGGGAAGUUCGUUAAACCUUNUNAUUUAANGGAAGGAGAANUCGUANCA